AGGAUAUUGAAGGGAGCUGAUUCUGCUUUGAUCCUUAUGCUUGUUGUCAAAGCGCUUGGGAUUGAAGAGACUGUUGGCUACAAUUGACUGUGACAAUUAGGAGAUGAUCAGAGCCCUAGAGUGGAGCACUUAAAGGGUAAUUUACAUGUCAGUUUGUCGAAUAAAAAAAAGAUAUUCAGCUAAGAUUUUUUUUUUCCCCUUAGAGCCUUGUAAACUGCAAUUUGUGCUCCAGUAAGAAAAACCUGGCAGAGGAGUUAGGAUAGCCAUUUCCAUUUGAAAAGAGGCAAUCAUAAGGCCACUGCUGAGCCUAUUGUCCACUAAAAAUGCUGAUUUGCAGUCAGGGAGUGAAAGAGUGGAGCCAUCACUAAAUAGAACCUCGUGCAAGGUUUGCAUUUAAAGGACUCUUGGAGCACUAAUUGUAUAAAAUUCUCGUAACUGCAUAUUCUCUUGCUGGAAAGUGUACAAGAUACUGGACAGACAGUGAAGAAGGAACCUUCUUGGUGAGAUGAGAGCUACUGCCUUGCUUGGAGCAGGGAGGUGUCUGGUUCAAAAGCUGCACGA